UAACGACUCUCGGCAACGGAUAUCUCGGCUCUCGCAUCGAUGAAGAACGUAGCGAACUGCGAUACUUGGUGUGAAUUGCAGAAUCCCGUGAACCAUCGAGUCUUUGAACGCAAGUUGCGCCCGAAGCCAUUCGGUCGAAGGGCACGUUUGCCUGGGUGUCA
rnacentral:rRNA from 1 species